AAAACCACCAGGGAACGCCCCGGGCUGUAGUCUUGGACCACAUCGUCCAUGCAGGCGGCCCAGGUGGCAUGCCCACAGCCUGGCUUCUCCACUCAUCUUUGAUGGUUCCAUGCUUGGAUUUGGGAGACCCAAGGGUUCACCUUUGAAUUGUUUGGCCACCCUGACUACACAGGUAUUUACAUCUCCAUGUGAAUUUGAGAACCAGGAGGAUUUGGGAACCUUAAUCAGAUGAACACGAGCUCAGCCGAUCAUGUCUUCUGACUGUUACAUGUUAAGUUCCGGGAAGACUGAGUCUCAAUCCCCAGGACUCCUGAGUUCAGCCAGAUCCACGUGCGAGGAGGUGAAGACAAGAGAGGCAAGAGCUGAACAGUGGGAAGGAGUGGUGGGAAGUCACGUGUCAAAAGUCAAAGGUGAUGCAGGGACGACUCAAAGUCUUGGAGUCCCCCCCCAAAAAAAACCUAGGAGUCAAGAGGCCAGUUUCCCUCAUCACUGUCUCACAGCAGAGACUGAUCCCAGACCAUCAGGACUUGAGCAUUCUGAAAGCCAGGAGAACCUGGUGGUGGGAUCUGUUGAUUCACCACUAAAGAAGGGAAAGGAAGCUGACUUCAUUUCUCUGUGAUGGUAGCUUCUGGAAUGAUCUAGAAUGGUUCAACAAAACACAAACUGAGAGGCAGAGGUCAAAGAAGUCCAUAGUGAAUUAGUAGCUCAGUCUAGGCUAAAAAACGCCGGCGCUCUCCGGAGGCAUCUGCUGCAUCCAGGCUGUUUCAGGUUGUGUGUGUCCUCCCCCAUUCAACAACAAAGCCCCUUUGCUUCACAGAACUGAGCUCAACAACUUGGUCAGAAAGGCACAAGCUGGUCUCAGACCUCCCAGCCUCUGCUUCUUCCCUUUCAUGGGCAGUUCAGCUCUCUCCCUCCUAUUGGGAAAGACCAGCCCUCUCCAAAUGGAUGUGCCCAGGGGAGUGGACUCCAACUCUCUGCCAGUCUCUGCAACUCAUCCUCCUUCCAGAAAAAGGACCCCAGGGAGAUUUAAGCUUAGCUUUGUGCUCUGGGAAACCCCUGCCACCCCGAGGUCACUGGGCCUGUGACAGCCCUCCCUCUCCCAGGUCUGUCUGUCAGCGUCUUGGCUCCUCCUCUGAGAGGAUCCCAAAGUACCUCUGAUCUUCCUCCUUUGGCUACCUAGACACCAGCUGGAGAGCCUACAAGCCUAGCAUCCUCCCUUCUCAGAGGCUUAGGAGACCUGAGCCUAAGUCUUCCCUUGAUGGCAGCAGGGUCUUUAGACUCGAGGGCAAAUCAAGCCUAUCUCAUCCCCAAGGCCUUCCUUUGCCCAGUCUCUCUCCCCACAAAGAAGACCCUCUGUCUCAAGAAAACAGACAGGGCUCUCGAGCUGGAAGCCCCCAAAUCCAGCUUGCCUGGAAAUCAUGUAGGAACGAACCGCUUACCUCUUCUGCUAGAAGCAGUUUAAUUACUAAAUUAAGGCAAUUCCUUUGUUUUUCUAAGCGCAAUGACAUUAUAGUAAUACCUGUCGCUAAUGGGUCCUAGACCUCCCUCCCACACCCUCCCACACCCUCCCCCAGUAGAACUUACAGUCCAGUCCCCAGGGACAGCCCCACAUUUCUAUGCAAAUCAAGUGUCCAGAGUGAAUGGGGGAGGAGGCGGAGUAGCACUUUCUCCAUGGCUGGGCGGCUGGAAUAUAUGCAUAAUAAAACACCAUUAACA